rnacentral:rRNA from 1 species
CCUACGGGGGGCAGCAGUGAGGAAUAGUGGUCAAUGGCCGGAAGGCUGAACCAGCCAUGCCGCGUGAAGGGCAGGGCCCUAGGGGCGUUAAACUUCUUUUGUGCGGGAGCAAGAAUGGGCACGUGUGGCCAGACGAGAGUACCGUACGAAUAAGCAGCGGCUAACUCCGAGCCAGCAGCCGCGGUAAUACGGGGGAUGCAAGCGUUAUCCUGAUUUCUUGGGUUUAAAGGGUGCGUAGGCUGUGAGGUAAGUCAGCGGUGAACUGCCCCCGCUCAACGGGGUGAAGUGCCAUUGAUACUGCCUUGCUGGCCUGCGGCUGCCGUGGGAGGAAUGUGUGGUGUAGC